ensembl:lincRNA
GGAAGAGGAACAGAUGGACACGAUUCCCUGUAGGUUUACAUCGUCCCUAAACGGCGUACAGCCACAAACGUCAUGUCAUACCGGUGACAAAAGAAGGCAAGGAAAAGGAUCCCAGCGGAUGGAUCGGUUUUACGUCUCAUGUGACACACAGUUGAUUUCCUGACAGCCCAGAGCAAACAGCAGCUACUUUGUCGGUGGAAAAGAUGCAAGGUUUUAUGUCACCUCCAGCAAGAAUUCCCCACACGGCUAUUUUGGAGUCCUUGCCCUCUUCUCGGGGAACUUUCUUUUUCUCCUCAAAAAUGUUACUGGUCCCAGGGC